GUUGAGCGCUGAAGGUUGGUACUUGUACCGACUGGAUGAGCAGCGAACGGGCGAUUAACGCGUGGGGAAUCUGCCUUUGAGCGGGGGACAACAUUCGUUAACGAAUGCUAAUACCGCAUAACAACUUUAAACACAAGUUUUAAGUUUGAAAGAUGCAAUUGCAUCACUCAAAGAUGAUCCCGCGUUGUAUUAGCUAGUUGGUGAGGUAAAGGCUCACCAAGGCGAUGAUACAUAGCCGACCUGAGAGGGUGAUCGGCCACAUUGGGACUGAGACACGGCCCAAACUCCUACGGGAGGCAGCAGUAGGGAAUCUUCGGCAAUGGACGAAAGUCUGACCGAGCAACGCCGCGUGAGUGAAGAAGGUUUUCGGAUCGUAAAACUCUGUUGGUAGAGAAGAACGUUGGUGAGAGUGGAAAGCUCAUCAAGUGACGGUAACUACCCAGAAAGGGACGGCUAACUACGUGCCAGCAGCCGCGGUAAUACGUAGGUCCCGAGCGUUGUCCGGAUUUAUUGGGCGUAAAGCGAGCGCAGGUGGUUUAUUAAGUCUGGUGUAAAAGGCAGUGGCUCAACCAUUGUAUGCAUUGGAAACUGGUAGACUUGAGUGCAGGAGAGGAGAGUGGAAUUCCAUGUGUAGCGGUGAAAUGCGUAGAUAUAUGGAGGGACACCGGUGGGGAAAGCGGCUCUCUGGGCUGUAACUGAAACUGAAGGUCUAAAAAGUGGGGAGGAAACAGGGAAUAAAUACCCGGGAGUCCCCCCCCCAAAAAAAUGAAUGGUUGAUGUUAGGGGGUAUAAAUUUCUCUGUUAUCCCACUUAAACCAAAAAACACUCCCCCCUGGGGAGGAACAAACCCCCAGGGUUAAAAC
rnacentral:rRNA from 1 species